rnacentral:rRNA from 1 species
UACGGAGGGAGCUAGCGUUGUUCGGAAUUACUGGGCGUAAAGCGCACGUAGGCGGCUUUGUAAGUUAGAGGUGAAAGCCCGGAGCUCAACUCCGGAAUUGCCUUUAAGACUGCAUCGCUUGAAUCCGGGAGAGGUGAGUGGAAUUCCACGCGUAGCAGUGAAAUGCGUAGAUAUGUGGAGGAACACCGAUGGCGAAGGCAGCCCCCUGGGUUAACACUGACGCUCAUGCACGAAAGCGUGGGGAGCAAACAGG